GAUGAACGCUGGCGGCGUGCCUAAUACAUGCAAGUCGAGCGAACAGACGAGGAGCUUGCUCCUCUGACGUUAGCGGCGGACGGGUGAGUAACACGUGGAUAACCUACCUAUAAGACUGGGAUAACUUCGGGAAACCGGAGCUAAUACCGGAGAAGAUAUUGAAGCGCAUGGGUCAAUGGUAAGAUACGGUGUUGGUGUCACGUAUAGAUGGAUCCGCGCCGUAUUAGCGAGUUGGGAAGGUAAAGGGUUACGAAGGCAAGGAGGCGUAGGCGAACUGAGAGAGUGGUAGGCCACAUUGGAACGGAGACACGGUCAAUGCUCCUACGAGACGCAGCAGUCGGGAACCGUACGCAAUGGUCGAAAGCUUUACGGAGUAACGCCGAGUGAGUGAUGAAGGUCUUCGGAUCGUAAAGCUCUGUUACUAGGGAAGAACAAAUGUGUAAGUAAACAUGCCCGUCUUGACGGUAAUUAAUAAGAAAGCCACGGCUAACUACGUG
rnacentral:rRNA from 1 species